rnacentral:rRNA from 1 species
CUGUUGUUGGAGAAGAAUGGUCGGCAGAGUAACUGUUGUCGGCGUGACGGUAUCCAACCAGAAAGCCACGGCUAACUACGUGCCAGCAGCCGCGGUAAUACGUAGGUGGCAAGCGUUAUCCGGAUUUAUUGGGCGUAAAGCGAGCGCAGGCGGUUUUUUAAGUCUGAUGUGAAAGCCCUCGGCUUAACCGAGGAAGCGCAUCGGAAACUGGGAAACUUGAGUGCAGAAGAGGACAGUGGAACUCCAUGUGUAGCGGUGAAAUGCGUAGAUAUAUGGAAGAACACCAGUGGCGAAGGCGGCUGUCUGGUCUGUAACUGACGCUGAGGCUCGAAAGCAUGGGUAGCGAACAGGAUUAGAUACCCUGGUAGUCCAUGCCGUAAACGAUGAAUGCUAGGUGUUGGAGGGUUUCCGCCCUUCAGUGCCGCAGCUAACGCAUUAAGCAUUCCGCCUGGGGAGUACGACCGCAAGGUUGAAACUCAAAGGAAUUGACGGGGGCCCGCACAAGCGGUGGAGCAUGUGGUUUAAUUCGAAGCAACGCGAAGAACCUUACCAGGUCUUGACAUCUUUUGAUCACCUGAGAGAUCAGGUUUCCCCUUCGGGGGCAAAAUGACAGGUGGUGCAUGGUUGUCGUCAGCUCGUGUCGUGAGAUGUUGGGUUAAGUCCCGCAACGAGCGCAACCCUUAUGACUAGUUGCCAGCAUUUAGUUGGGCACUCUAGUAAGACUGCCGGUGACAAACCGGAGGAAGGUGGGGAUGACGUCAAAUCAUCAUGCCCCUUAUGACCUGGGCUACACACGUGCUACAAUGGAUGGUACAACGAGUUGCGAGACCGCGAGGUCAAGCUAAUCUCUUAAAGCCAUUCUCAGUUCGGACUGUAGGCUGCAACUCGCCUACACGAAGUCGGAAUCGCUAGUAAUCGCGGAUCAGCACGCCGCGGUGAAUACGUUCCCGGGCCUUGUACACACCGCCCGUCACACCAUGAGAGUUUGUAACACCCGAAGCCGGUGGCGUAACC